rnacentral:rRNA from 1 species
GUGGGCCCUCGAACUCCUGUGAUGAGUGGAUUCAGUCUGGAGUGACAGACACGUGUAUCGGAUAACUAAGCAGGGCUUCUCCGAGCGGGAGCCAUCCGGUAUCGUGGAGUCUCUGUCAUGCCUGAUGCAUUUCUCUCUCAUCCCGAGGAUGCCGCAGCCAGUCAGGGAGUGCAAACAUGAUGACCGAAGGGUGGAAGAUAGCAGGUGGCCGGUGGAGAGCAUUGUGCUCUCUGUCGGCUGUUAGCUGUUCUGCCAGUGGUUCAUCCCCUGACUGAGUGUCUGAUCGUCUCCUCCUCUUUAAUGUGGAUGCCGGAAUUAAGCGUCGCAGGUGAUAACUCUCAUCCUGUACGCACUCCUUUGGGGUGGUCGGAUGUACAUGUGCUUGCCUUUGGUGAUGUUGAAUCCGUUGGAGGCUGAAGGCUUGCGGCAAGUAGGUCGGUCACCCACCUGACCCGUCUUGAAACACGGACCAAGGAGUCUAACAUGUGUGCGAGUCACUGGGUCUUGAAUAGGCCCAUGGGCGCAAUGAAAGCAAAGGCCUUCUCCCGGGAGGCCGAGUUGGGAUCCCUCGUUGUUGGGGGCGCACCAAUGACCCGUCCUAUCCGGUUUACCGGUUGGAUGGAGUUUGAGCAUACACGUUGGGACCCGAAAGAUGGUGAACUAUGCCCGGACAGGAUGAAGCCAGAGGAAACUCUGGUGGAGGUCCGCAACGGUUCUGACGUGCAAUCGAUCGUCAGAUCUGGGUCUAGG